rnacentral:lncRNA from 1 species
AAGAAGAUAUCAUGUUGCAUAUGCCAUUAGCAAAGCCACCAAAGAAGCCACCUCCCGGAAAGAAACCAGGGCCUCCGGGUCCAGGUCCCCAACCAGGCCCACCAGGUCCAGGUCCCCAACCAGGUCCAGGCCAGGCCCCACCGGGUCCAGGCCCCCAACCAGGUCCAGGUCCUCCUGGUCCACCGGGUCCAGGACCCCAACCAGGUCCUCCUGGCCCACCAGGUCCCAUCUUCAGCUCUCUACCACCACCGCACCGCCCGGCCUGGCAAGACUUUCUACCAACAACAGCACACAAGAAAGCUCCAACCCGUCGAAGAAGCUCUUUGGGAAUAUAGUAUUGAUCUUCUUAGAUAAUAUAGUAUAUC